rnacentral:rRNA from 1 species
AUUGAACGCUGGCGGCAGGCUUAACACAUGCAAGUCGAGCGGGGUGAUGGUGCUUGCAUUAUCACUUAGCGGCGGACGGGUGAGUAAUGCUUAGGAAUCUGCCUAUUAGUGGGGGACAACCUCUCGAAAGGGAUGCUAAUACCGAAUACGUCCUACGGGAGAAAGCAGGGGAUCACUUAUGACCUUGCGCUAAUAGAUGAGCCUAAGUCGGAUUAGCUAGUUGGUGGGGUAAAGGCCUACCAAGGCGACGAUCUGUAGCGGGUCUGAGAGGAUGAUCCGCCACAUUGGGAAUGAGACACGGCCCAGACUCCUACGGGAGGCAGCAGUGGGGAAUAUUGGACAAUGGGGGGAACCCUGAUCCAGCCAUGCCGCGUGUGUGAAGAAGGCCUUAUGGUUGUAAAGCACUUUAAGCGAGGAGGAGGCUCUUUUGGUUAAUACCCAAGAUGAGUGGACGUUACUCGCAGAAUAAGCACCGGCUAACUCUGUGCCAGCCGCCGCCGUAA